UACGGGGGGGGCAAGCGUUGUUCGGAAUUACUGGGCGUAAAGGGCUCGUAGGUGGCCAACUAAGUCAGACGUGAAAUCCCCAGGCUCAACCUGGGAACUGCGUCUGAUACUGGAUGGCUUGAAUCCGGGAGAGGGAUGCAGAAUUCCAGGUGUAGCGGUGAAAUGCGUAGAUAUCUGGAGGAAUACCGGUGGCGAAGGCGGCAUCCUGGACCGGCAUUGACGCUGAGGAGCGAAAGCUAGGGGAGCAAACGGG
rnacentral:rRNA from 1 species